rnacentral:lncRNA from 1 species
GAAGAAUUAGUUGUCAUUACCAAUUUAGCCAGCCUUCCCUAAAACACGUGUCUUCAUUUAUUUGAGGCUUCUUUAUAUUUCUUUUUUAUUGCUGAGACUUCUCGUUAAGAUUAGAGAUUUAUUUUUAAAUCUAAGUACACUAAUCCUGUUACCUGUAAUAUUUUCAAAUUAGAUAUUAUAUGAAUAGUCUUGAAGCUUUCAAAAGAGUCAGUUGAUUUUUUUCCCCUGGUUGGUAUGUGCGAGUUUCCAUAUUAAUUUCAAUAAUGUUAUCUCUAAUCGUCUCUUUUGGAUUCUAUCUAUACAGGCAAAAUAUAAUGAAGAAACAAAUUUGAGACCAAAAGAAAAUUUACAUAGAUCUUUAAGACAGAAGGGAAAGAAAGGAGAGUGCUGCUUAUAUGAACGGGAUCAUUGGUACAGAUCUUACCUUAACUUACCAUAGGUAGACAUAGCUUAUUAAAAGAUAUACCACUUGACUUUGUAAUGGUUAUUCUAGUUUAAUAUUGAUGCAUCUGUGUAGAAUGUGAAAAGUUAAAUGUUCACAGUGCUUCUUGAAUGUAGCUUUUCUUAUGAUGCCUUUGGAUUUCUAGUAAGAACUGCUAUAUCAAAUAGCUUCAAAAGCAUUUGGGUUUUGCCCUAUUUGGAAUAACUGAGACAAGUCUGAGUUAAUAUGACUCUCUGAUAUUAAAGGCACUGAAGAAUACAUUUCCUCCAUAAUGCAGGGGUCCAUAUGGAAAUAUAACAUUGUAUUAUACUUUCCUACUACUGUAUUGUAUUAGUAAUCCCCCAAAAUGAUUUUGUUUCAUGGCGAUCCAUUGUCCCUAUACUGGUGACUUCUUCAUCUUAGUCUUGGACAAGUGGAGGCACACACAUUUGUUAACUUUGAAUACAUGAGUGUCACCACUGGCUUCUUUAUAAAAUAGGUUCAUGAAUUAUAUCCUAAAAUUAAAAAAGAAAAUUGUCUUCUCAAACAUUUUUUAACUCCAGACAAUGUCAUAAUGGUUCUCUUUAUCAGAAAGCUUUCAUUAUCUUCACUUAGGAGAAACUAAGUCUUCCGAAUGCAGAAAACUUUGCUAAAAAUGAUGAGAGAUUUGUAAAAAUUUAUACAAUCAACAUGGUACAUAAGAGAAAGUCUUUUAUAGAUAACACUAGUUUUUUAUUCUAAAUGUUUAUGAGUUUACAUAACUCAAUAUAUAUGGAGCUUAACUGCCACAGAGACAUUUGCCCUCGUGUCUCUCAAUCUGCACUUGAAUUUUCUACCUAGAGAGUCUCAGCAAUCGCAACUCUUUCUUAAGUACUUAAUUAUGGUCAGUGAUUUUUGAAGUUUUUCAACAAUUUGCUUAAGUUCCACUUCAGACACACCUUGAUCAACAUCUAUAUCAACUCUCCCCAUUUUCCCGCAACAAAUGCUUUCUGAAGGAUGUUCACAAGGCCUAAAUUGCAUCUCUGCUUUGGAGAGAGCUGAAAAAGUCAUCUGACUUAAGCUCGAGAGAGCUGGACACUGCUUGAUAGGGUGUCGAAUGAUAUAUUUUUUAUUUAGAAGACUAAGCAAUUCUUUUGAACAAUUUUAAAGAGACCAAGCCAUGUGGGGCUUUUUGUGGAAGCCUAAUUGAUAGUCAGCUCUCCAAUUAGACUGAAAUUCCAAAUAAUCUUCCAAAAUUUCUCAUAUUGAUCAAUACCAUUUUGUAUAUCUAUGAUUAGUUUUCUGAAUUUCACCUUGAUAAAAUUAUAUCCAUGGGCAGUUCUUUUUCUUUCAUUGCACCUUCAACCUAUAGCACCCAUCGUCUCUAGUAACCUUUUUUUUUUUUUCAGUUAAUAGCACUGUUUUGGUGAUUGAUAGCUUUUCUAAAGUACCAAUAAUAGAUAGAGGAGUAGAGUAUAUAUGUUAUCUUAAGGCCAGGAAACAUCUCUCUAUGAUCACACUUUGAAGAAUGUCAACAAGUUUUUGUUUUACUCUCCAUAAUUUUUUUAGAAGAAACCAAGGAUAUUAAAUAUUCAAAGAGGUAAAAAUGAGAAACUUUCUGUAAUGACCUUAUAACUACAAUUCAUCUUACAGACAAUCCAGAAUUAAAACACCUUUUGGGGAUCCCUGUCUUUCUCAAUAUUAUCAUCAUCAAAAUCAUCAACAAGAAUCACAAGCAUUUGUGGUAUGUUUCCUAUGUGUCAGCCUGUGAUUGGUAUUUAUAUGGAUUAACUCGUUUAAGCUACACUAUUUUCCUUUCAGGAAGAUGCUAUUUUUAUUUUCAUUUGCAGAAGCGGAGAAGGUUAAGCUCUUUGCAGGACUUCUCAGAGGUAGGAACUGGGAGCUGGGGUAUAAACCCAGGUGGAUGGAUACCUGAGCCUUCAAUCUUCAUCAGUCAUAUACUGUCUUGCUUUCCUUCCUCGAGGUUCAACCAGGAGCCCAUCUUUGAAUCUCCCUUUCCUCCAUCCCCUCUAUUCAAUUACUCAAGUCCCAUUGACUCUAACUUGGCUCUCAAAACUGCCCAUUCUUGGCUCUCAAAUCUCCAUUCUCCCUAUUGCUGGGCUUGCACCAGUUUUCAUCAAACCUCUCCUCCAUGACUGCAACUGCCUCCCGGCCUCAGUCUCCCCCUACUCAAAUCAAUCCUCUGCACUGGCACAAAGCAAGAACCCAACCAGUCCAGAUUUCAUUUAACAAGAGCAGAGAUGUGACCAUGUCACUCCCUACUGACAGUAAAGUUUCAAACCUUGAGAAUGGUAUUCAAAGUUCUUCGUGUCCAAGUUCCAACCUACUUUUCCAGCUUGAUCUUCUGCCAUUCCGUCUCUGAGCCUGUGGUCCAGUAACUUGAGAUUACCAAUAAUUACCUAGACAAGCCAGGGACUUCCAUGACUCUGUGCCUUUGCUCAAAUUCUUCCCGCUAUUUAGAAUAUUCUUUUCUCUAUCUUAUCUCUAAUCCCCAUUUUCUGCUAAUCAAAAGACUACACUUUCAAGACCCUGCUCAAGUACCAUCUCCUUUGCAAAGC